GAAGGAUGGAAGAUUUGCCCCUAGAUCACAUCAGUGCUCCACGGAGUUCAGCAUUCCUCCUGCCUUCUGCAGCCAACAGUGCUUGGUACUCCAAAGAAAGGUUCUGUCGUGGGAGAACAGCUUUGAGUGGGUGAAGGUGGACACCAUGCUCUGAAAAGAAACCAGUCAGUAGGAGCUCUGUUCUGCUUAACACUCAUGCCACAGCCAAGAGCUAUCCACUACAACAUCACGAACAGGGCUCCUUUGUAGAUCCUUGGCUGUGGAUAUUCAACCUGUGAAUCCUUUAGUCCUUAGCACACAACUGGGGACGAAAGAAGUUGGUAAAUGAUAUGGCAUCUGUCUGAU